rnacentral:piRNA from 1 species
UGAAUCCCAACAGCCUUGGAGCCUCAUAGU